GGGGAGACACGAAGCUAAUGGGUUGAGGUAGAUCCCACAUGUGCCUGAUAGAAAGGGGCUGAAAUGAGGGCUGCUCCUCACAGCCCCUGCUGUGCAAGUUCACUUCCUUCUCAGCUUUCCUCUGGCAUCAGCAGUCUCUUUCCAGCUACUCCCUGAUCUCUGCUCUGGUCCAGUGCUGGCAGAGAGAAGCAGAGGGAAGAUACCACAGUCAUGCAGGAGAGGAGGAGACAACGUGACCACUGAGGCAGAGAGAGAUUUGAGGACAUUGACACUGAAAAUUACAGUGAUGCAGUCACAGGCCACAGAGCACCAGCAACCCCCAGAAGCUGGAAGAGGACGGAGAGACUCCAUAGGACUUUCUUAUAUGACUUACUCUGAAGAAAUGGAAAAACAAUCACAUUUCUCUGGCUUCUCAUAAAUUCUUGGAGGUUGUACACAGAGCCCUAAAUCGUGGCCCUCUAGGUAUUGUCCUAGGCAUUGCAGACAGAACAAGGGACCAAACAAAGCUACCUCCUUUGAUUCCCUCAUGGCACUUACUCUGCAGUGUGGGGAAAUAGACAACUGAAAAACAGAG
ensembl:lncRNA